GACGAACGCUGGCGGCGCGCCUAACACAUGCAAGUCGAACGAGCGAGAGAGAGCUUGCUUUCUCGAGCGAGUGGCGAACGGGUGAGUAACGCGUGAGGAACCUGCCUCAAAGAGGGGGACAACAGUUGGAAACGACUGCUAAUACCGCAUAAGCCCACGGCUCGGCAUCGAGCAGAGGGAAAAGGAGUAAUCCGCUUUGAGAUGGCCUCGCGUCCGAUUAGCUAGUUGGUGAGGUAAUGGCCCACCAAGGCAACGAUCGGUAGCCGGACUGAGAGGUUGAACGGCCACAUUGGGACUGAGACACGGCCCAGACUCCUACGGGAGGCAGCAGUGGGGAUAUUGCACAAUGGGGGGAAACCCUGAUGCAGCGACGCCGCGUGGAGGAAG
rnacentral:rRNA from 1 species